rnacentral:rRNA from 1 species
AGAGUUUGAUCCUGGCUCAGAAUCAACGCUGGCGGCGUGCCUAACACAUGCAAGUCGAACGCGAAAGUGGAGCAAUCCAUGAGUAGAGUGGCAAACGGGUGAGUAACGCGUGGGUGACCUGCCUUCGAGUGGGGGAUAACGUUCCGAAAGGGACGCUAAUACCGCAUGACAUCCUGCCUUUGAAGAGGCGGAGAUCAAAGCCGGGGAUCGCAAGACCUGGCGCUUGUUGAGGGGCCCGCGUCUGAUUAGCUAGUUGGUGGGGUAACGGCUCACCAAGGCAACGAUCAGUAUCCGGCCUGAGAGGGCGGACGGACACACUGGGACUGAGACACGGCCCAGNACUCCUACGGGAGGCAGCAGUGGGGAAUUGUUCGCAAUGGGCGCAAGCCUGACGACGCAACGCCGCGUGGAGGAUGAAGACCUUCGGGUCGUAAACUCCUUUCGAUCGAGACGAACGGCUUCCGGGUGAACAAUCCGGAAGAGUGACGGUACCGAGAGAAGAAGCCCCGGCUAACUCCGUGCCAGCAGCCGCGGUAAUACGGGGGGGGCAAGCGUUGUUCGGAAUUACUGGGCGUAAAGGGCUCGUAGGCGGCCAACUAAGUCAAACGUGAAAUCCCUCGGCUUAACCGGGGAACUGCGCUUGAUACUGGAUGGCUUGAGAUUGGGAGAGGGAUGCGGAAUNCCAGGUGUAGCGGUGAAAU